rnacentral:rRNA from 1 species
AGCAGUCGCCGCGGGAACACGAAGGGGGCUAGCGUUGCUCGGAAUGACUGGGCGUAAAGGGCGCGUAGGCGGCGAUCAAAGUCAGGCGUGAAAUUCCUGGGCUCAACCUGGGGGCUGCGCUUGAUACUGGGUUGCUUGAGUGGGGAAGAGGGUCGUGGAAUUCCCAGUGUAGAGGUGAAAUUCGUAGAUAUUGGGAAGAACACCGGUGGCGAAGGCGGCGACCUGGUCCUUUACCGACGCUGAGGCGCGAAAGCGUGGGGAGCAAACAGGAUUAGAGACCCCAGUAGUCCCUGUCUCUUAUAC